UAUGCUUGAACAUUCGCCGGUUCUUGAGAAUCUAAUUCUUGAACUGCGCAAGCAAGAAGAAACUGCUCUUGCAUUGGAAGUGGAAGGAAAUAAUAGUUUGAUGCACAAACCAGCUGCUAUAUCAGGAUGCCUGAAGAUUAUUAAAGUCAAAUUUGAUGAGAUUGAUGACAGAGUUUGCAAAGUUUUGAAGUUCUUGAGUAUACUUGGCACAGAAAUUAUUAUCCAAAGGACUACCGAUUGUUGGAGAUACUGAUCCAGUUUCAAGAGGCAAGGGGAACUUUGGGGUGCUGAUGGAUGUACCAUUAGGAGACCAUUCAGUUUCAAGAGUUGGCGAGGAACUUGUGCUGUUGAUGAAUUUACCAACCUGUGACCAACUUCAGGAAUGCAAGGCUGAAGCUUGUUGAUGUCUCUCUUCUGUGCGAAUCUUAUAAUUUGAAACUCAAACUUAUUCAGCUGUCUGGACUGAUUACUAUGCUUAGUGUAAUUUUAUUAUUCCUAAAUUUGAAGAGAAAGAACAUCAUCUUAGUUUGGGCUGUUGAGGGAGGUACCAUCCCGUGACAAUUCAAAAA